CCGCAAUCGUGGUUACCAGCUUCCUGACUUCCAGCACGGAAAGAAAUCAAGCUCUGAUGCAAGCAUCGUCGCCCCAACUAUCUGCGCAUGGCCUUUUUCUACGAUGACGUCACUACCAGCACAGGACUUAAGCUUACCUGGCUUCGCUCCUGGUGCUGCAGCCAUCGCUGCAAGCUUCGCCGUGUUCCACGCGAGCAUGGCGGUUUCCGCCCCGCAAUCGUGGUUACCAGCUUCCUGACUUCCAGCACGGAAAGAAAUCAAGCUCUGAUGCAAGCAUCGUCGCCCCAACUAUCUGCGCAUGGCCUUUUUCUACGAUGACGUCACUACCAGCACAGGACUUAAGCUUACCUGGCUUCGCUCCUGGUGCUGCAGCCAUCGCUGCAAGCUUCGCCGUGUUCCACGCG